rnacentral:rRNA from 1 species
GGAGACUGCCGGUGACAAACCGGAGGAAGGUGGGGACGACGUCAAGUCAUCAUGGCCCUUACGCCUAGGGCUACACACGUGCUACAAUGGCUGGUACAGAGAGAUGCGAAGCCGCGAGGUGGUGCAGACCUCAUAAAGCCAGCCCCAGUUCGGAUUGUAGGCUGCAACUCGCCUGCAUGAAGUUGGAAUCGCUAGUAAUCGCGGAUCAGCUACGCCGCGGUGAAUAUGUUCCUGAGCCUUGUACACACCGCCCGUCAAGCCACGAAAGCUGAGAGCGCCCGAAGUCGCUAGUCCAACCGCAAGGAGGACGGCGCCGAAGGCGAGCUUGGUGAUUGGGACUAAGUCGUAACAAGGUAGCCGUAGGAACCUGCGGCUGGAUCACC